UACGGGGGGGGCAAGCGUUGUUCGGAAUUACUGGGCGUAAAGGGCUCGUAGGCGGCCAACUAAGUCAGACGUGAAAUCCCUCGGCUUAACCGGGGAACUGCGUCUGAUACUGGAUGGCUAGAGGUUGGGAGAGGGAUGUGGAAUUCCAGGUGUAGCGGUGAAAUGCGUAGAUAUCUGGAGGAACACCGGUGGCGAAGGCGGCAUCCUGGACCAACACUGACGCUGAGGAGCGAAAGCCAGGGGAGCAAACGGG
rnacentral:rRNA from 1 species